rnacentral:rRNA from 1 species
CCUACGGGAGGCAGCAGUGAGGAAUAUUGGUCAAUGGCCGUAAGGCUGAACCAGCCAAGUCGCGUGAAGGAAGAAGGAUCUAUGGUUUGUAAACUUCUUUUAUAAAGGAAUAAAGUGAUGCACGCGUGCCUUUUUGGAUGUACUUUAUGAAUAAGGAUCGGCUAACUCCGUGCCAGCAGCCGCGGUAAUACGGAGGAUCCGAGCGUUAUCCGGAUUUAUUGGGGUUAAAGGGAGCGUAGAUGGGUUGUUAAGUCAGUUGUGAAAGUUUGCGGCUCAACCGUAAAAUUGCAAUUGAUACUGGCAGCCUUGAGUACAGUUGAGGUAGGCGGAAUGCGUGGUGUAGCGGUGAAAUGCUUAGAGAUCACGAAGAACACCGAUUGCGAAGGCAGCCUACUAAGCUACCUCUGACAUUGAGGCUCGAAAGUGUGGGUAUCAAACAGGAUUAGAUACCCGUGUAGUC